GCAGCGGUGGUUCAGUGGUAGAAGUCUUACCUUCUACAAGGAGACCUGGGUUCAAUUCCUAGCCAAUGCG
rnacentral:tRNA from 1 species